ACUCCGGUGGCUUAAGUGGUCCGAGCGUCCGCCUUUGGAUGAGAGAGGUCGUGGGUUCAAACCCCGGCCGAAUUA